rnacentral:rRNA from 2 species
GACACGACUCUCGGCAAUGGAUAUCUCGGCUCUCGCAUCGAUGAAGAGCGCAGCGAAAUGCGAUACGUAGUGCGAAUUGCAGAAUCCCGCGAAC